ensembl:snRNA U6 U6 spliceosomal RNA
CAAGAGAAGAUUAACAUGGCCCCUGCACAAGGGUGACACAGGAAUUUGUGAAGCAUUCCAUAAUUAA